rnacentral:rRNA from 1 species
UACGUAGGGUGCAAGCGUUGUCCGGAAUUAUUGGGCGUAAAGCGCGUGUAGGCGGCCUGGCAAGUCGGGUGUGAAAGCCCUCAGCUCAACUGAGGAAGUGCGCCCGAAACUGCUUUGCUUGAGUGCUGGAGAGGGUCGCGGAAUUCCCCAAGUAGAGGUGAAAUUCGUAGAUAUGGGGAGGAACACCGGUGGCGAAGGCGGCGACCUGGACAGUAACUGACGCUGAGACGCGAAAGCGUGGGUAGCAAACAGG